UUAGUACUGCUUUUGCAGUAUCCCACAGGGUCUUGGGCUGAGGUUGUGUUCACUCAGCCCCAAUCUGUGUCAGGGUCUCUGGGGCAGACAGUCAUCAUCUCCUGCACCCGCAGCAGUGGCAGCAUUGAUGAUGGAUAUGUGCAGUGGUACCAGCAGCGCCUGGGCAGUGCCCCCACCACCAUGAUUUAUAAGGACAAUCAAAGACCCUCCGGGGUUCCUGAUCGGUUCUCUGGCUCCAUCGACAGCUCCUCCAAUGUCGCCUCCCUGACCAUCUCUGGGCUGCAGCCUGAAGAAGAGGCCGACUACUACUGUCAGUCUUAUGAUGGCAACAACAAUCACACAGUGCACCAGAGCCAUGGGGAAGUGAGAUGA